UGUUGAACAGCAGGUUAAAGAGGAAACAGACCACAGAGCCAUGCAUAUGCCAAUCUAGUGUUAUGACAGAAAGGGAAAACUGAACCAGAAGAUGCUGUCAUGAGGAAGGAGAUUAUGGAAAACAAUGAUUAUAGUCAACUGGAAUGAGCAAGAGGAGUCCUGUGUCCACAACGACUGCUCAGAAGGACCAGAAAGUACCAUGUAUGCUGCCAAGCAGGAAAGAAAUCAACAGUGUGAUUCAGCUGUGACACCUUUGGACUAUGACAAUGACCAGCAUGGCGAGAUACCUAUAAAGAUUUAAAACAUGACGAAGAGUUUGGAGGACAGUGAUAAUCUAUGGACCCAUACAGAUCUGUCAAGAGGAAGCAGUUGCUCCUGUGCUGACAAUGAGGACAUGGACUGUAUCCUCCCAUCUCUGAGCAGUGUCAAUGGCAACUUGACAGUUAUCGAAAGGCUUCAGCCUUGUACUUGGCUGUGUUUAUGUUCAGCCAUCUUAAAACCUGGGCAUUUAUAGCACAUUUCAAUAGCAGCAGCUCUAAGAAUGCGAUAGUAACUGUUUAACCUGGCAGAGCCUUGGGUACGCCUGGUGUGAUAUUGCAAAUGGCACCUUCAACGUCAUAUAGAGCUAAUUAAAGACUAGGUGAUACUUGGGAUUCUUACAGGAACAAACAUGAGAAUCCUAGAGUUUAUAAUUUCAGAAUAAUCAGUAGGGUGUAUAAUUCACUGUCAAUUUAUAGUACCCUGUGCCCUAGUUUUCUUUCUCCUUUCCUAGUUUUAGGAAAGAAUUUUCAAAGAAAAUCUUUUGCUUAUUGCUGACACCAUAAAUUCAUGUAUGCCUAUAAACAUAAAAAAAUGUACUUCAAGAAGAGGUUGGGAUUAUCUUAAAAAUGGGUGCUAUGUGAAGAAACACAAGAUACAUGAGGUUAAAGGUACAGUGUGAGAGAAAACCAGACUGGUGGUAAAGGCAGACACACUAGGAGAUAUAUGUAAAGAAUAUAUGAGAGACAAAGUGUAUCAACCUGUGGGAGGAAGAAAAGGAAGCUUUCACAGAGGAAGUGGCAUUUGUUACAGAGCUAGCUUGAAAGAUACAUAUGUGCUUGCCAGACUGACAGAAUUCUCAGUAUGUUAAAACAUGCGAGUCCCGAUAUUGAACCCUGCUGGGAAAGUAUAAGAAAGGCUGUGUGACUUGGAGGGUAGAAGCAGCUUAAGAGUUUUAAAUUCCACUUGUUUUCUCCAGUUGUGUUUGAUGGUUAUAAGACAGAUAAUACAAUCAGAAAACCCACUUUGAAAUAGGGAACGUAUUAGACAGUCUUUCUUUUCGGAGAAGACAUUAGUGAAAUAUUAUUUAUCAAGCAUACAAGAGGAGGGCUGAGGUGACAAGUUAGUGGGUAAAUGCUUGCCUUGCAAGUAUGAGGUCCUGAUUUUGAUUUCUCAGAUCUCAGGCUAAAGCAGACAGACAGACAGACAAACAAAAUUAGCAAAACCAGAAAACAGCUAAGUUCGGUGGCAUAUACUUGAAAUACCAGCACUGGGCAAGUGCAGACACAAGGAACUCUAGGGCUUGCUGGUCUACCUUACUUGGCAAGUCCCAAGCCAGUGGACAAUUUAUAAGUCCUCUUAAGUGUUCAAAUGAAGGGGAGAGUGGCACACAUGUUACUUUAAAUCAAAAGUAUAAAUGGUAGAGUGAAGAAGAUAAACUAAAAGCUGAGAUAAGCUGAAAGCUAGGUUCUUGUAAGAAUCAUGUCUACUGUUUGAGCUCACACACACACAAAAUGUUCCAGGAAGCAAGACAGGGGCAAAGGGGAAAUAAAACAGCCUCAUCGCUGACACGAAUGAUACAGUGGUCUGCAUUUGAAGGCCAGACGAAUCCAGUAUUGUCUUAAGGUAAUUUUUUGGGUUGUUGUUGAAAAUAGAUUUUUUUCAUAUUAUAUAUUCUGUUCAUGAUUUUUACCUCCGCUGACUGAUUCUCCCAGCCUUCCCACCCAUCCUAAUUAACACCCUUACUAAAUAGAAAACAAGAAGGCAACUAAAAAGUAAUACAAAACAAAACCCACAGAUAAACCAGAAUAGUAUAAAAUAAGCAAACAAAAAUAAGAGACAAAGAUAAAGCUAAAGAAAUACAUACAGCUGUGAAGACAUGGGUUUAUGCAUGUGUGUGGGUCUGCACAUGUCACAGUAUGUGGAGGUCAGCAAGUCGCCCCAUGUGCCAUAUACUAACAGCUGUGAGGAUAUGAGGACAAUAUAGUUGUAUGGAAAUUUCCAGUGGAGUAUAGCUCUUUUACUGUUUUGGAGUUGAAAGCCCCUUCAGCUCUUUCAAUCCUUUCUCUAAUUCCUCCAACAGGGGUCCUGUUCUCAGUUCAGUGGUUUGCUGUUAACAUUCACCUCUGUGUUUGACAUGCUCUGGCUGUAUCUCUCAGGAGACAUCUAUAUUUAGAUUAGAUUUGUUGGAAACUUCUCUUUCUGGAGAGGUCUGUAUAGGUAUUGUUUAGUGUAGAAUAUCAGUUGUGCAAUACAAGGUCAACUUCAUAUUGACAGUGCACUUGGAUGCUUAUAUAACUCAGGGGUGGGAUAAUGGCAACAGUAUAUACAUAGGACAUACUGUUUAAGAUGCAUUUAUUUUAAGUUGUGCAUGUUUGUGUAAAGAAUGUCAAUGUCUGCAGAAGCCAGAAGAUGAUGUUACUUUCUGUUUUGCAUGUCUGGAGUUAAGGGUUGGUUGAGUCGUUCACUGUAGGUUGCUGGGAACCAAACUGGGUCUUCUGCAAGAACAGUAUGUACUCUUAACUGCUGAGCCAUCCUUUGAGCUCCUGUAGUUGAUAAUAUUUAGACUUCUUGCUCUAAGCAUUCAUUUGACAACCAUACAAUCAUUUAGGCUAGGUAUGAUAAAAGUCAUUUUUUCUUUUCUUUCUUUUCUUUCUUUCUUUCUUUCUUUCUUUCUUUCUUUCUUCUUUUUUUUUGCUUUACACAUUUCAUGAAGCUAUACUUGACAAGUGAAAAAUUAUAAUUACAUAGAUUUUUAUAAAAUUUGUAAUCUGCUUUUUAUAUAUGUGUAGCUCAUGAAACAAACUAAGAUAACUACCAUGUUUAUUAUUUCCUAUAAUAUUAAUUCCUAUAAUAUACUUGGUAUGGGGUAAGGGCAUCUAUAAUCUUCUCUCUGAAUUUUCAUGUAUAUAAUACACUAUUAUUAACAAUGGCCACAUUGAAUAGAGAUGACAAGUGUAUACCUCUGUCUAAAUGAAACUUUUUUUCCCCUCAUUCUCCAUUUCCCCUAUCUCACAGCACCCCUGGUACUCAUCGCCUGCAUAUUAUUUCCAAGUUUAGCUUUUUAAUAGUCUAAAUAGUAGCAAAAUUAUGUUUAUUUUAAAAAAUAUGUUUUUCUCUUUCCUUAUGUAAUUCAGGCUAGUCUGAAACCUAUAGUCAUCCUGCCUUAGCCUCCUGAGACCUGGGUUUGUAGGCACGCAUCAUUACUACAAAGAGAGUUUUAUCAGUACACAGCUGUGGCAGUUUGGCUGCGACAGUUUUCAAACUACAGUGACAAUUGAAUACUUGUGACCACAUUUUCCAGAAAGUCAAAAAUAGGAACCCUCUGGAUUUAGAAGAACAAACUUACUGACCCCUGUUGGCAGCACAUCAACAUUUGAGAAUACUGAGACUCUCCCUCAGUAGAAUAUUUCAGGGUGAAUGCUGCUUUGAUAAUUCUGCCUUUAGAUCAUAUCUAAAAAUAGGUUAAGCUCUUCUGGGUGAGGAGAUUAAGAAUAGGACAUUCAUGUUAUUCAUUUUCUUUGGCCAGGAAGCUCCUCCCAUGUUCUUGAAGACCCUCCUUCCUCCUCUCAUUUGGCUCCCCUUUUCUAUCAGCAUCUUUAUGGGGAUGCAUUCUGUAUGCUGCACUGUGUAAAUUAGUCCACUGGUUCACAUGAACAUGCUUGCCUGCUCCAUAUUUCCCACCUCUGUGCUCAGUUUAAGACUUAGAUGGCAGACUUUCUCUGUGUUCAUCCCAUUACAUGUCUGUUUGGCUAGUUUCCUUAAAAUAGCACUUUCACUGUCAUCAUCAGAAACCCCCAGACAACAGAGCAUUGUAGUGAAAAUGGUGGCACCAUUGAACAAACCCAAGUCUCGAUUCCUUAGCACUUGAUUACCCAGGUUAGUGUGAAGAUACUCAGUUCUGUAAACUUCCCAGAUGUCCGUUAAUUCCGUUGUACAAGAGGGAAGACCAUUACCCAAAUUCCUUGGUCAGACUAACCAAGCUCUAUUUUCUGUCAGACAGAGCUAUCUCUCUAAAAUGGGCUUGUGAGUAUAGGAUAUAACACAGGAGAAGAGAGGGGAAAACUACAAGGUUAGGGAGUUUCCAAGGGCCGAGAGAUUUCCGGGAGGAUUGUGAUUUUUGUAGGAGCUUGACGGACAUUUCAAAAUUAUUUGGCAGAACAUCUCAUCAGGAUGGGAAGCAUGUCGAACAGGUUAAAGCAUGGUCAACUUGAACUUUGAAGGAAACAGAAAUGACCUUGUUUUGACCUUGUAACAAAAUGGCUUGCAUCGUUAACAUGGAGUAAGGCUGGUCCAUCGAUGUCUUCAUAGCAGAAAGCAAAAGAAAAUGAACGUUGAAUGUAUAUACGCAGAAGAUACUUCUGCUUUUCUGAAAGAAACUGACUUUUAAAUACUCUACUUAUCCAAGUAUUUUUUAAAAGCUGCUUUUUUAAAAAGAAUUUUUCAUUGAAAAAUAUUUUCCAUAUAGUAUAUUCCAUGCACACUUUCUCCUCUCGUAUCUCCUCCAAAAUCACUGCCCCUCACUUCCCCUUACCCAACUCUAUACCUUCUUCCUCUCUUUCUUUAGAAAACAAAUAGGCAAAUUGAAAAAAGACAAAAGGCCCCUAUACAUAGACAUGUAUUCAGACAGACAGACAGACAUAAACCCCCAAAACAAAGCCCAUAAAACACAAAACAGAAACUCCAAUAGAAAAGUAAUGUUAAAAAGUGCAGAAGCAACUGAAGCCACUUCUUCAUAAAGCCACCUGAAGGACCUUUUACAAAACUUAUAAAGCUGGGGAAAUUUGUUGUCUGUCAGUAUUAGUCCAAGAAGAACAGCGCAGACAUUUUCAGAAUCUGUCUUAAGAAGAAGCCAGGAGUUAAUAAACAAUCUGGAGAACCGAGCAGGUCCAAGUUUUCUGUCUUAAUUAUAGCAUUACGAGUGUGCACUGUAACACUUACAUUACCUUGAUGAAUAUUUUCUCGAGGAGUCCAUAAUGUACAUUUAACAGUAAGCAGAUUGCUAUCACCAACAGUGUCAUUUCUCCUUAGAAACGUAACACAGUUUUGUGAGGAAACGGAUCGAUACAAACACCACACAGCAUCUACGCAUUUUCUGUAGCAUGUGUUUUAAACGCAUUUCUUUAUGGUGUUUCGAAGACACAGCAGAAAGGAAAGCAGCGAAGGUGCUCAGCUCUGUCAAUGUUCGGUGUGUCUGGUCUUCUGUAGAUGGCAGCCAAACUACAGAGAUUCACAAUGUGUUCUUGGAUGCCACACUGAGCAAGCUCAGCUUCCACGGUGGUUGAUUGCUUGUCACUGUCUUCAAAUAAUGAUGAUGGGAAUAUUGAACUCAGGGAAGCGACAGAGCUGCGAUCCAAUGGAAGGGACUAGAGCAAACGAUGCUCGUCAUAUGGCUGCCCACUGGGACAAGUAGGCAAAGGACGUGCAGGGCCUAGGGAAGGUAACAGAACAUCAGAUUCAAGGACAAAAAUAUGAUGUCAUCCGAUGUUGACAGCUAUCACAAGGUUGUGUUUUUAGCUCAGACUUAGAAACCUGGGCCAGUUCAUAUUUGAAGAGGAAUAGAUAUUUGGUAGCAUGUGAACACAGAUUUUGUAUGAGGAAAAAUAUGCAAGCACUAGGAUUCUUUAUGAAAAGCAUCUGAAUGCCCCUAAAAUACAAUUAAAAGUAAAAUCUCACUAAUGUAUCAGUUUCAGAAAACCCCAGUGCAAUGCCAGAUUACACGCAAUCUGGGAUUCCUGCUCUUUAACUAAAAAAUGAUCGUGCUUUAAGAUAAGAAUGUUUGUCUUUUCUGGACCUGGCCAAGCAGGAGACACCAUCAUGGCUGUUGACAUUCGCCACAAGGACUUAAAGGUUCUGUUCAAGGAACCCAAGAGCCAGGACAUCGACAUACAAGCUGUACAGGUUUCUGGCCAGACGGACCAACUCCACUUACAGUAAGGUGCUGAAAAGGUUAUUUAUGAGCCACACUAACUGACCACCUCUGUCCCUGUCCCGAAUGAUCCAAAAGAUGAAGCUUCCUGGCUGGGAGAACAAAACUGCUGUGGUUGUGGGGAUGGUCACAGAUGAUGUGCGGAUUCUGGAAGUGCACAGGCUGAAGGUGUGUGCACUGAGGGGGAGCACCGGGCCUGAAGUCGGAUCCUCAAGGUUGAGGGUAAGAUCCUCACCUUCAACCAGUUGGCCCUUGAGUCUCCCAAGGGACGAGGCACCGAGCUCCUUUCUGGUCCUCGGAACGGUAGAGAGAUGUACUGACACUUUGGCCAGGCCCCAGGAACUCCGCACAGCCACACCAAACCCUAUGUUCGUUCCAAGGAAGUUCGAGCAUGCCAGAGGUUGAAGGGCCAGCUGAGUCUACAGAAACUAAUCCUGGCUUUUACUGUUAAUAAAAAAUAGCUUUGGAUGUUAAAAAAGAAUGUUUACGGCUCAGAUUUAAAAUAAAUUUUUGUUUGUUAGUCUUGAGGAAAACCAAUUCUCUCUCACACACUUAACAGAUACACAUUUAUAGUUUUUGAGAUAGGAUCUUGUCAUGAAGCUCACUCAGGUUUGAGCUCUUGACUCUCUGUCGAGUGUGGUGAUGAUUUGCAUGCAAGGCACACUUUAACUUUUGUUCAGUUUGUUUUAAGACAGGAUCACACUAUGUAGAUUAGGCUGGCCGGGAACUUGUUAUGUAGACGGGAAUGGACUUUUGCACUGUCCUUUCUACCUCUGCCUCCAGAAUGUUGUGAAUACACUUGUGUACUACUACGACCAUCAUGCAAAUUGGCUCUUUCUUUUAAAAUUUAUCUUGUGUUAUGUGUAUGAAUGUUUUACUGGUGUAUAUGUAUGUGCACCACAGUGGUUUACCAACCAUGCUCACAAUCGCAGCAAGGCUGACUUUAAAGGUCAGACUGUUUUUGAUUCUCUACCCAGGUCCUAGUAUUUAUCUUUCACCAGAAGAAUGAAAUUCCCAUCUUUUUUUAAAGAAUGAGAUAUAAAGGAACGCAAACACUGGCCAUUUGGAAAAUAUAGCUGUAUCACAUGAGAAAGUUUUUAUUUUAUUUUUUGAAAAAGAGCAAUAGGAAGUUGGAAGAAGAAAUUAAAUAACAAUGAAUGUUGUUCUGUGGGGAAUGUUACAGGCUUAGGUAGGAAGUUCUCUGAAAAAUGAAAAAGGCAAACAAGAAAUUUCACCCUGCUAAUAUAGGUGUCAUGCUCCGGGCGAUGAAAAUAAAUCACCAGCUCUGAUAUCGAGGGGAAAAAUGCCAAAUAGCUACAAAUGAUCAUAAUAUUUGUUUUAUUUCUACAAUUUGAAAAACAAAGUUUGAGAAAGGGAGGUAGACUAUUGUUUUUGUUGCCCGGCUCCCCUCAGGAGCCAUUAACGGGGAACAAAAAGAUAGAUAUUUGCCCCUGAAUUUUUUCUGUACAGAAAGGAUUGCAACAUUCGUUUAAGAUGGUGGUUCUGGAGCAGGUGAGAUCAGCAGGUAUCUUUCAUGGCAAUUAUAUCUUUCUUCCAAAGCAAGGUGACUGAAAUGGAGUUAAAAGGGUAAGGUUUGAGAAUGCUAGGAUGUGGAAAGAGCAGUGUGUGCGAAUACAUCUGAGCAUGAAGGCCAGAGGUCAGUUCCGGAAAGGUCUGCCUUGCUAUUUUAAACACCGUCUCUUAUUGGGAGUCAAUUAGAUUAGUCUUAUUAGGGAUCACACAGAUUAGCCCAGGCUGGCUUCCCAGCAAGUCCCUGAGAAAGCUACGCCUCUGUACUUCCAACAUUUAGAAUGACAAGCAUAGGCCAAGGUCCGCUUUCCUUAUGGGUGUUAUGUAUGCAUCGCAGAUCCUCAUGGAUUACUUGACCAACUGAGCCAUUGUCCCAGACUCUAAGGAUCCAGUUUGAAAUGACAUAGACUGUGACAACUACUGGCACUGCUGAAUACACAUGAGAAAGCGUUACUUGGUAAUUUGGAUAAUAGCAGGUGGAGAGCUACUGGAAAGAGGAGAGCCCUGACACAGGGUUGAAGGUGCAGCCAAGCUCCACUUGUGAGGCACAGGGUGGAACCCAACAUAAGAUGGUAGGACCCUUGACAUACAAGAGGUACAUGGACACAAAGGUGGCAGUGCGAGUGGACCAGGACUUGAGCCUGAAAUGAUUGAUCUUCCUCUCUGUCCAGUGAUGUGUAUUCUGCAGACUGGCAUCAUGCAUCCAAAAGAGGCGAAUGCUAGCAGCAAGCCAUUGAACUGAGAACAGGAUCCCUACUGGAGGAAUUGGAGAAAGGAUUGAAGGAGCUGAAGGGUUUACAACCCCAUAAGAACAACAAUGCCAACCAACCAGAGCUUCCAGGGACUAAACCACUACCCAGAGACUAUACAUGGACUGACCCAUAGAUCCAACUGCAUAUGUAGCAGAGAAUGGCUAUGUUGGGCACCAAUGGAAGGAGAAGCCCUUGGUCCUUGGUUGGACCCUCCAGUAUAAGGGAAUGGGGG
ensembl:lncRNA